AUGAUGAAGGGCGCCGCUCGGCUAUGGAGACUGGUUCUUGAGGUGCAUCUUGUGGACUCCAAGGGCCUCUUCGGCAGCGAUUUCCUAGGGAAGAUAGACCCGUAUGUGAUCGUGCAGUACCGGAGCAGGAGCGCAAGAGCAGCACCUCCCGAGGUCGGUGCCUCCGCAGCUUCUGGUUUUGUUUUCCUCUUCAUGGUUUUCGCUGCUGCAAAUGAUGAUGAUACUCCUGAUGAGGGGAGGAACCCGAGCUGGAACGAGGUGUUCCGGUUCCAGAUCAACUCCUCCGCCGCCAACGGGCAGCACAAGCUCUUCCUCCGGAUCAUGGACCACGACAACUUCUCCAGCGACGACUUCCUCGGCCAGGCAACCAGAACCCGGCCACCGGCCACCACCCGGAAGCUGGUGUCAUGGUCGAGCUGGGCGGAGUGGCGCUUCGUCUGCGACGCCAUCUUCUCCCCAUACCCCGACCCUGGCGCUGCUCUUCGCAGGACCGCGGCGUGGCGGAGUAGGGGCUGCCUCCCGAUACCCGUGGAGGUCAUUGCGGCCCUCUUCGAGAUAAGGCUGCGGGAUCCCUUCUUCCGGACCGGAGUGGCUUCAGAUGAUAAGCUGGAGUCAGACGAGAUGCUCGCCUUGCUGUACAGUAUGGCAAUCAUCAGUGUAUCUCUUCUAGAUGGAAAGGUGUGCGGAAGGGAUUUGUACCACCGGGUAGCAAUUGAACAGGAAGAGGCUUAG
rnacentral:rRNA from 1 species